AAGGAUCAUUAACGAAUAUAAUUCGAGGGGUUGUCGCUGGCCUCGCUCGCGCGAGGCAUGUGCACGCUUCUCGUUUUUCUCUCAACUCACCUGUGCACCUAAUGUAGGAUGCCUCUCCUCCGGGAGGGGGGACCUAUGUCUUCGUAACAUCUUCGUGUAGAAAGUCUUUGAAUGUUUACUAUCAUCGAGUCGCGACUUCUAGGAGACGCGAUUCUUUGAGAUAAAAGUUAUUACAACUUUCAGCAACGGAUCUCUUGGCUCUCGCAUCGAUGAAGAACGCAGCGAAAAGCGAUAUGUAAUGUGAAUUGCAGAUCUACAGUGAAUCAUCGAAUCUUUGAACGCACCUUGCGCUCCUCGGUGUUCCGAGGAGCAUGCCUGUUUGAGUGUCAGUAAAUUCUCAACCCCUCUCGAUUAGCUUCGAGAGGGCGCUUGGAUAGUGGAGGUUGCCGGAGACUUGGAUUCGUCCGAGACUCGGGCUCUUCUGAAAUGCAUCGGCUUGCGGUCGACUUUCGACUAUGCGCGACAAGGCUUUCGGCGUGAUAAUGAUCGCCGUUCGCUGAAGCGCAUGACUGAACGUCCCGUGCCUCUAAUACGUCGACCGCUUAUUAUCUCUCCGGAGAGAACAGGGUCUUCCUAAUUGACUUUUGACCUCAAAUCAGGNAGGACUACCCGCUGAACUUAA
rnacentral:rRNA from 1 species